rnacentral:rRNA from 1 species
AUUGAACGCUAGCGGGAUGCUUUACACAUGCAAGUCGAACGAGUGGCGGACGGGUGAGUAAUGUAUGGGGACUGCCCGAUAGAGGGGGAUAACUACUGGAAACGGUAGCUAAUACCGCAUACUAUCGGAUAACCCAUAUGGGAUUAGCUAGUAGGUGAGGUAAUGGCUCACCUAGGCGACGAUCCCUAGCUGGUCUGAGAGGAUGAUCAGCCACACUGGGACUGAGACACGGCCCAGACUCCUACGGAGGCAGCAGUGGGGAAUAUUGCACAAUGGGCGCAAGCCUGAUGCAGCCAUGCCGCGUGUAUGAAGAAGGCCCUAGGGUUGUAAAGUACUUUUGGCAGAGAAGCGGUAUCUGCAGAAUAAGCACCGGCUAACUACGUGCCAGCAGCCGCGGUAAUAC